rnacentral:rRNA from 1 species
CCUACGGGAGGCAGCAGUAGGGAAUCUUUCACAAUGGGCGAAAGCCUGAUGGAGCAACGCCGCGUGCAGGAUGAAGGCCUUCGGGUUGUAAACUGCUUUUAUAAGCGAGGAAUAUGAUGGUAACUUAUGAAUAAGGAUCGGCUAACUACGUGCCAGCAGCCGCGGUCAUACGUAGGAUCCGAGCAUUAUCCGGAGUGACUGGGUGUAAAGAGUUGCGUAGGUGGCAUAAGAAGUAGCUAGUGAAAUCUGGUGGCUCAACCAUUCAGACUAUUAGCUAAACUGUUAAGCUCGAGACCGUUAGGGGUAACUGGAAUUUCUAGUGUAGGAGUGAAAUCCGUAGAUAUUAGAAGGAACACCAAUAGCGUAGGCAGGUUGCUGGGACGGUUCUGACACUAAGGCACGAAAGCGUAGGGAGCAAACGGGAUUAGAUACCCCAGUAGUC